GUGAGUCAUCGAAUCUUUGAACGCAUCUUGCGCUCCUUGGUAUUCCGAGGAGCAUGCCUGUUUGAGUAUCAUUAAUUUCUCAACCUUAUUAGCUUUUGCGAAAUAAGGCUUGGAUAUGGGGGUUUGCUGGCUUCUAACGAGGUCGGCUCCUCUGAAAUGUAUUAGCGGUGCCCUUGUGGACCCGACUAUCAGUGUGAUAAUUAUCUACGCUGUUAGACGACCACGUUUUGGGGGUUGUGCUGCUUCUAACCGUCCUCUCUGGACAAUAUAAUGACAAUUUUGAUCUCAAAUCAGGUAGGA
rnacentral:misc_RNA from 1 species